rnacentral:rRNA from 1 species
UUGAACGCUGGCGGCAGGCCUAACACAUGCAAGUCGAACGGUAACAGGAAGCAGCUUGCUGCUUUGCUGACGAGUGGCGGACGGGUGAGUAAUGUCUGGGAAACUGCCCGAUGGAGGGGGAUAACUACUGGAAACGGUAGCUAAUACCGCAUAACGUCGCAAGACCAAAGAGGGGGACCUUAGGGCCUCUUGCCAUCGGAUGUGCCCAGAUGGGAUUAGCUAGUAGGUGGGGUAAAGGCUCACCUAGGCGACGAUCCCUAGCUGGUCUGAGAGGAUGACCAGCCACACUGGAACUGAGACACGGUCCAGACUCCUACGGGAGGCAGCAGUGGGGAAUAUUGCACAAUGGGCGCAAGCCUGAUGCAGCCAUGCCGCGUGUAUGAAGAAGGCCUUCGGGUUGUAAAGUACUUUCAGCGGGGAGGAAGGGAGUAAAGUUAAUACCUUUGCUCAUUGACGUUACCCGCAGAAGAAGCACCGGCUAACUCCGUGCCAGCAGCCGCGGUAAUACGGAGGGUGCAAGCGUUAAUCGGAAUUACUGGGCGUAAAGCGCACGCAGGCGGUUUGUUAAGUCAGAUGUGAAAUCCCCGGGCUCAACCUGGGAACUGCAUCUGAUACUGGCAAGCUUGAGUCUCGUAGAGGGGGGUAGAAUUCCAGGUGUAGCGGUGAAAUGCGUAGAGAUCUGGAGGAAUACCGGUGGCGAAGGCGGCCCCCUGGACGAAGACUGACGCUCAGGUGCGAAAGCGUGGGGAGCAAACAGGAUUAGAUACCCUGGUAGUCCACGCCGUAAACGAUGUCGACUUGGAGGUUGUGCCCUUGAGGCGUGGCUUCCGGAGCUAACGCGUUAAGUCGACCGCCUGGGGAGUACGGCCGCAAGGUUAAAACUCAAAUGAAUUGACGGGGGCCCGCACAAGCGGUGGAGCAUGUGGUUUAAUUCGAUGCAACGCGAAGAACCUUACCUGGUCUUGACAUCCACGGAAGUUUUCAGAGAUGAGAAUGUGCCUUCGGGAACCGUGAGACAGGUGCUGCAUGGCUGUCGUCAGCUCGUGUUGUGAAAUGUUGGGUUAAGUCCCGCAACGAGCGCAACCCUUAUCCUUUGUUGCCAGCGGUCCGGCCGGGAACUCAAAGGAGACUGCCAGUGAUAAACUGGAGGAAGGUGGGGAUGACGACAAGUCAUCAUGGCCCUUACGACCAGGGCUACACACGUGCUACAAUGGCGCAUACAAAGAGAAGCGACCUCGCGAGAGCAAGCGGACCUCAUAAAGUGCGUCGUAGUCCGGAUUGGAGUCUGCAACUCGACUCCAUGAAGUCGGAAUCGCUAGUAAUCGUGGAUCAGAAUGCCACGGUGAAUACGUUCCCGGGCCUUGUACACACCGCCCGUCACACCAUGGGAGUGGGUUGCAAAAGAAGUAGGUAGCUUAACCUUCGGGAGGGCGCUUACCACUUUGUGAUUCAUGACUGGGGUG